rnacentral:rRNA from 1 species
UGGGCUAUCCCGAGUGCCAGCCGCUAAGGCUGGCUUUUCCCCAGAGUAAAAACCUGGGGGAAUAAGCGGGGGGCAAGACUGGUGUCAGCCGCCGCGGUAAUACCAGCUCCGCGAGUGGUCGGGACGAUUAUUGAGCCUAAAGCGCUCGUAGCCGGUCCGGUAAGUCCUGUGCUAAAUCCAACGGCUCAACCGUUGGGCCGCAUGGGAUACUGCCGGGCUAGGGAGCGGAAGAGGCCAGGGGUACUCCGGGGGUAGGGGCGAAAUCCUAUAAUCCCAGGAGGACCACCAGUGGCGGAGGCGCUCGGCUGGAACGCGCCCGACGGUGAGGGGCGAAAGCUGGGGGAGCAAAGGGGAUUAGAUACCCCUGUAGUCCCAGCUGUAAACUAUGCGGGCUGGCUGUUGGGUGGGCUUAGAGCCCGCCCAGUGGCGUAGGGAAGCCGUUAAGCCCGCCGCCUGGGGAGUACGGCCGCAAGGCUGAAACUUAAAGGAAUUGGCGGGGGAGCACCACAAGGGGUGAAGCCUGCGGCUCAAUUGGAGUCAACUCCGGGAACCUUACCAGGUGCGACAGCAGAAUGAGGGCCAAGCUGACGACUUUGCCCGACACGCUGAGAGGUGGCGCAUGGCCGUCGCCAGCUCGUGCCGUGAGGUGUCUGGUUAAGUCCAGGAACGAGCGAGACCCUUACCUUUAGUUGCUACCGCGAAAGCGGGCACACUAGAGGGACCGCCACCGUUAAGGUGGAGGAAGGAGGGGGCAACGGCAGGUCAGCAUGCCCCGAAUCACCUGGGCCGCACGCGGGCUGCAAUGGUGGAGACAAUGGGAUCCGAACCCGAAAGGGGGAGGUAAUCCUUGAAACUCCACCGUAGUUGGGAUCGAGGGCUGCAACCCGCCCUCGUGAACCUGGAAUCCCCAGUAAUCGCGUGUCAUCAUCGCGCGGUGAACAAGUCCCCGCUCCUU